GGGGAUGUAGCUCAGUGGUAGAGUAUUUGCCUCACAUGCCCAUGGCCCUGGGUUUAAUCCCCAGCACUGCCA
rnacentral:tRNA from 1 species